rnacentral:rRNA from 1 species
UACGUAGGGUGCGAGCGUUUGUCCGGGAAUUAUUGGGCGUAAAGAGCUUGUAGGCGGUUUGUCGCGUCUGCCGUGAAAUUUCGAGGCUCAACCUCGAACUUGCGGUGGGUACGGGCAGACUAGAGUGUGGUAGGGGAGACUGGAAUUCCUGGUGUAGCGGUGAAAUGCGCAGAUAUCAGGAGGAACACCGAUGGCGAAGGCAGGUCUCUGGGCCACUACUGACGCUGAGAAGCGAAAGCAUGGGGAGCGAACAGG